ACAACGUGCUGCAAGUCCUGCCUCUCCCAUCUCCUCAUUGGUUUUUAGGAGGAUAUACCUACGUGCCAUCUCCUCAUUGGUUUUUAGGAGCAUAUACCAUCGUGGGUGAUUGAAAGAUGAACUGAGGUCCACACUCCAGUUCAGUCAGUUGUGGUAAUGCACCUUAAAGUUGGUUGCCAACCGCCAUAUAAAGUCCAAAGAAGAAGAAGCCUGAAGGAGGAGAGAUUACUAGAAACAACCUCGGUUGACCGUUUUAUCUGUGGAUUAAUUGUCAAAGUAGAGGACCUUGUGCAUUUCAGGCCCACCCCUCUUCCCCAUCUCAUCGACGGCCAACCGGCAUACAGGGUGAGGCGCCUCCUGAAGGUUCGACCACGGGGCAGGGGAUUCCAGUACCUGGUUGACUGGGAGGGUAAUGGCCCGGAGGAGAGGUGCUGGGUCCCCUCCAGGGACAUCCUGGACCCAAGCCUCAUCGCUGAGUUCCAACGCCGGCCAGGUGUGCGACCAGCAGGAAUCGCCUAGCUUAGAUGGAAAGAUGGAGGGGGAACAAAGGAAAGGAGUACAGAAGUUAUCCAGCCUGUUGACUAAGACAUGUAAAUAGCCUAUGUUUUGCUGUCUAUAUCUCUAUCUCUCUCCUUCUGUCUGCCUGACUGGCAGAUUGCUGGGGGGCAACAUACAGUGCAUUCGGAAAGUAUUCAGACUCCUUGACUUUUUCUACAUUUUGUUACGUUACAGCCUUAUUCUAAAAUUGAUGAGGAUUUUUUUUAUCCAUCUACACACAAUACCCCAUACUGACAAUGCGAAAACAGGUUUUUAAAAUGUCUGCACAAGAUUCUCUGGUUUGAUGAAACCAAGAUUGAACUCUUUGGCCUGAACGCAUGGUGGUGGCAGCAUCAUGCUGUGUGAUGUGUGAUGGUUUUCAGCGGCAGGGACUAGGAGAUUAGUCAGGAUCGAGGGAAAGAUAAACAGUGCAAAGUACAAAAAGAUCCUUGAUGAAAACCGCUCUAGAGCUCUCAGGACCUCAGACUAGGGCGAAGGUUCACCUUCCAACAGGACAACGUCCCUAAGCACACAGACAAGACAACGCAGGAGUGGCUUUGGGACCAGUCUUUGAAUGUCCUUGAGUGGCCCCGCCAGAGCCCGGACUUGAAGCCGAUGGAACAUCUCUGGAGAGACCUGAAAAUAGCUGUGCAGCGACGCUCCCCAUCCAAACUGACAGAGCUUGAGAGGAUCUGCAGAGAAGAAUGGGAGAAACUCCCUAAAUACAGGUGUGCCAAGCUUGUAGCAUCAUACCCAAGAAGACUCAAGGCUGUAAUUGCUGCCAAAGGUGCUUCAACAAUGUACUGACUAAAGUGUCUGAAUACUUAUGUACAGUUGAAGUCUGAAGUUUACAUAAACUUAGGUUGGAGUCAUUAAAACUUGUUUUUCAACCACUCCAUACAUUUCUUGUUAACAAACUAUAGUUUUGGCAAGUCAGUUAAGAAAUCUACUUUGUGCAUGACAAAAGUCAUUUUUCCAACAAUUGUUUACAUACUGAUUAUUUCACUUAUAAUUCACUGUAUGACAAUUCCAGUGGGUCAGAAGUUUACAUACACUAAGUUGGCUGUGCCUUUAAACAGCAUGGAAAACUCCAGAAAAUGACGUCAUGGCUUUAGAAGCUUCUGAUAAUUGACACCAUUUGACAUAAUUUGUGUCAAUUGGAGGUGUACCUGUGGAUGUAUUUCAAGGCCUAACUUCAAACUGAGUGGCUCUUUGCUUGACAUCAUGGGAAAAUCAAAAGAAAUCAGCCAAGACCUCAAGGAAAAAUAUUGUAGACCCCCACAAGUCUGGUUCACCCUUGGGAGCAAUUUCCAAACGCCUGGAGGUACCACGUUCAUCUGUAGAAACAAUAGUACGCAAGUAUAAACACCAUGGGACCACGCAGCCGUCAACCGCUCAGGAAGGAGACACGUUCUGUCUCCUAGAGAUGAACAUACUUUGGUGCGAAAAGUGCAAAUCAAUCCCAGAACAACAGCAAAGGACCCUGUGAAGAUGCUUGAGGAAACAGGUACAAAAGUAUCUGUAUCCACAGUAAAAUGAGUCCUAUAUCGACAUAACCUGAAAGGCCGCUCAGGAAGGAAGAAACCACUGCUCCAAAACCACCAUAGAAAAGCCGGACUACGGUUUGCAACUGCACAUGGGGACAAAGAUCGUACUUUUUGGAGAAAUGUUCUCUGGAGUGAUGAAACCAAAAUAGAACUGUUUGGCCAUAAUGACCAUCGUUAUGUUUGGAGGAGAAAGGGGGAGGUUUUCAAGCCGAAGAACACCAUCCCAACCGUGAAGCACAGGGGUGGCAGCAUCAUGUUGUGGGGGUGCUUUGCUGCAGGAGGGACUGGUGCACUUCACUAAAUAGAUGGCAUCAAAAUGAUGUGGAUAUAUUGAAGCAACAUCUCAAGACAUCAGUCAGGAAGUUAAAGCUUGUUCGCAAAUGGGUUUUCCAAAUGGACAAGACCCCAAAUAUACUUCCAAAGUUGGGACAAAAUGGCUUAAGGACAACAAAGUCAAGGUUUUGGAGUGGCCAUCACAAAGCCCUGACCUCAAUCCUAUAGAAAAUGUGUGGGCAGAACUAAAAAGCGUGUGCAAGCAAGAAGGCCUACACACCUGACUCACCUGACACCAGCUCUGUCAGGAGGAAUGGGCCAAAAUUCACCCAACUUAUUGUGGGAAGCUUUUGGAAGGCUACCCGAAAUGUUUGACCCAAGUUAAACAAUUUACAGACAAUGCUACCAAAGACUAAUUGAGUGUAUGUAAACUUUUGACCCACUGAGAAUGUGAUGAAAGAAAUAAAAGGUGUAAUAAAUAAUUCUCUCUCCAAUUAUUCUGAUAUUUCACAUUCUUAAAAUAAAGUGGUGAUCCUAACUGACCUAAGACAGGGAAUUUUUACUCUGAUUAAAUGUCAGGAAUUGUGAAAAACUGAGUUUAAAUGUAGUUGGCAAAGGUGUAUGUAAACUUCCGACUUCAACUGUAAAUGUGAUAUUUCAGUUUUGUUUUUUUCAUACAUUUGCAGACAUUUCUAAAAACCUGUUUUUGCUUUGUCAUUAAGGGGUUUUGUGUGUAGAUUGAUAAGGGGAAAAAAACAAUUUAAGACAUUUUUGAAUAAGGCUGUAACUUAACAAAGUGUGGAAAAGGUCAAGGGGUCUGAAUACUUUCCGAAUGCACUGCAGUCAAUGUACUUGCUAGGCUAAGUCUAACUUAGUGAAGACCUUAGGUUAUAGUUAAUCAUGAUUCAUCUUUACAUUUCCUGAAACAUGUCAAGGACUUAAUGCAUGGCCUCUACCGCCAUACUUGGCCACCUACUCUGUUUCCUUUCUUACAUUAAGUGCCAUGAAAAGCCAGACAACUCAGGAGGUUGAUGUGUUGGAAAGUUCUAAAACAAGCCUCUGACUGCCGUGGUGGAGGAGGAUGCAAAGUACAUUUAUGAGCAAGUUGCUCUUUUUUCGAAGACUAAGCUAUAACUGCCACAAAUUCUUUCAACUAGUACCGUGGAAAAACUUUUAGCCAGCUGAGUCCACACUGUUUCUUCAAGAAUGUCCUUCUAAAAUCACAAAUUGAUGAAGUUGUAAUGUUGAUUCUCUUCACUGCAGAUCUGACCCAUCACACCACUCUUAUUCAUCAUGAAUAAAAUAAAACA